AUGGAUGAGCCAUGGAUAGUGUUUGGCGAUUUCAACGAAAUCUUAUUCUCGGAUGAAAAGGAAGGAGGAGCACCCAGAGAGCAAAGAUGUAUGCAAGCAUUCAUGGAUGUUCUGUCCGAGUGCGAGUUGGAAGAUUUGGGUGCUACGGGAGACUCGUACACAUGGAGCAGAGGGAGUAUUAAGGAAAGGUUGGAUAGAGCUGUAUGUAACUCAUGGUGGAAUUUGUUAUUUCCUAAUUUGGGUGUCAUAAAUGGUGAAAUGACAAAAUCUGAUCACCGUCCGUUGGUGAUUGUGAAGGAAAUAUGCCCUAGAGGCAAUAAUAAAGUUGUUAUUUAUAUUUCCUUAUAUCAUGAUAAAUGUUUAUUAUUCACGCUAGAAUUGUAUUAA
rnacentral:rRNA from 1 species